rnacentral:rRNA from 1 species
UACGUAGGGUGCGAGCGUUAAUCGGAAUUACUGGGCGUAAAGCGUGCGCAGGCGGUGCGCCAAGCUCGAUGUGAAAGCCCCGGGCUUAACCUGGGAAUUGCAUUGAGGACUGGCGUGCUCGGAGUGCGGCAGAGGGGGAUGGAAUUCCGCGUGUAGCAGUGAAAUGCGUAGAUAUGCGGAGGAACACCGGUGGCGAAGGCGGCGACCUGGACGGUAACUGACGCUGAGGCGCGAAAGCGUGGGGAGCAAACAGG